GACGAACGCUGGCGGCGUGCCUAAUACAUGCAAGUCGAACGAAGUGGGGACGGGUGAGUAACACGUGGGUAACCUCCCAUCAGAGGGGAUAAAACUUGGAAACAGGUGCUAAAACCGAUACUGAUGGAUGGACCCGGUGUGCAUUAGCUAGUUGGUGGGGUAACGGCUCACAAAGGCCACGAUGCAUAGCCGCCCUGAGAGGUUGAUCGGCCAAACUUGAACUGAGACACGGCCCAGACUCCGACGGGAGGCAGCAGUAGGGAAUCUUCGGCAAUGGACGAAAGUCUGACCGAGCAACGCCGCGUGCGUGAAGAAGGUUUUCGGAUCGUAAAACUCUGUUGUUAGAGAAGCGGUAUCUAACCAGAAAGCCACGGCUAACUACGUGCCAGCAGCCGCGGUAAUAC
rnacentral:rRNA from 1 species